ACACAACCAUUGAUCCAAAAGUGCGAGACAUUGUUUUAAGUAUGACGCUGAUGGCACUUGGUCCACAACUACCCAUGCUACGUGCUCAAGAAGUUGACAUAUGGUUCAACAAAAACCUUGUACUAUUCCUACCCAGCAUUAAUGUCACAACAAUUAAUUUGAUUUCAAAAAACAUCAGUUGUGCAUCUUAUCAAGAAAUUGUCAAGGGUUUCGGCAGUGUCGACAGUCAUCUCUCCCAAAACCAGACUGUGCUGAUUUUCUCAUUUUUAAAGGAAUAUCUGAUGGCACAGUCCUCAUCAGGUUUAUCCUGUGUUGAAGGUGUGAAUGACAGUAGGCGUUGGCUUCAACGCAACUUUGGCCCAU